GCCUGGCUGGCUCAGUAAGUAGAGCAUGUGACUCUUGAUCUCAGGGUUGUAAGUUCGAGUUUCAUGCUGGAUG
rnacentral:tRNA from 1 species